UACCACAGGGAGCAAGCAGGUAGAGAUGGCAGUGUGCUCUGUCACCUGCUUUAGGGGUGACAAGGACAGUGGGAAUGCUUCAACUUGUGUUAAAUAAGUCUCUAAUGAGGAUGAGGUGCUGACAUGGGAUGGGGUCACCGAUUGGAGCAGAGCCAGCACUGUGACACCCAAAUGGGCAUCAGUGCCCCAGAUGGGAUCUGACCAAGAUGUGGUUGUGGUUUCCAAGAAGUCUGAGGGUGCCCCCCCCUCUGCUGCUCUUACAGGGCUGCCGGGGUCCCAGUGGAGCCAAAGGAGACCUGGGAGCCAAAGGAGGCAAGGGUCUGAGUGGAGCACCAGGAGCUGCGGGUCCCCCAGGGCUGAGGGGUCAGAUGGGUUCAUUGGGCUUCCCAGGACCCCGCGGGGCAGCAGGACCACGAGGACCUGAGGUGAGGCUGAGGGUGGGCAGGCAGCCUGGGAGGGGUGAAGAGAGCAUGGGCAGCUCUGCCAGCCACAUCCUUCCUCUUCUUUCUGUGGGAUGAAGGCUCUGGGAUCUCUCAUUUGUCACCUGGAGUGAUUGAGUCAGGGAGGAGAUG
rnacentral:lncRNA from 1 species